rnacentral:rRNA from 1 species
UACGGAGGGUGCGAGCGUUGUCCGGAAUCAUUGGGCGUAAAGGGCGCGUAGGUGGCGGGACAAGCGUGCGGUGAAAGCUCGGGGCUCAACCCCGCGUCGGCCGUGCGAACUGUUUUGCUUGAGCACUGUAGAGGCAGGCGGAAUUCCGGGUGUAGCGGUGGAAUGCGUAGAGAUCCGGAAGAACACCGGUGGCGAAGGCGGCCUGCUGGGCAGUAGCUGACACUGAUGCGCGACAGCGUGGGGAGCAAACAGG